CUGGGGUGCAACUGACGCUGAGGCUCGAAAGUGCGGGUAUCAAACAGGAUUAGAUACCCUGGUAGUCCGCACAGUAAACGAUGAAUACUCGCUGUCGGCGAUACACGGUCGGCGGCCAAGCGAAAGCAUUAAGUAUUCUACCUGGGGAGUACGCCGGCAACGGUGAAACUCAAAGGAAUUGACGGGGGCCCGCACAAGCGGAGGAACAUGUGGUUUAAUUCGAUGAUACGCGAGGAACCUUACCCGGGCUUGAACUGCACCCGACGGACAGGGAGAUUUGUCUUCCGCAAGGCGGGUGUGGAGGUGCUGCAUGGUUGUCGUCAGCUCGUGCCGUGAGGUGUCGGCUUAAGUGCCAUAACGAGCGCAACCCUUCUCUUCAGUUGCCAUCAGGUAGAGCUGGGCACUCUGGAGACACUGCCAUCGUAAGAUGCGAGGAAGGUGGGGAUGACGUCAAAUCAGCACGGCCCUUACGUCCGGGGCUACACACGUGUUACAAUGGGAGGUACAGAAGGCCGCGACCCGGCGACGGGAAGCCAAUCCCCAAAUCCUCUCUCAGUUCGGACUGGAGUCUGCAACCCGACUCCACGAAGCUGGAUUCGCU
rnacentral:rRNA from 1 species